rnacentral:rRNA from 1 species
GCAGCCGCCGCGGUAAUACGAAGGGGGCUAGCGUUGCUCGGAAUUACUGGGCGUAAAGGGAGCGUAGGCGGAUCGUUUAGUCAGGGGUGAAAUCCCGGGGCUCAACCUCGGAACUGCCUUUGAUACUGGCGAUCUUGAGUAUGGGAGAGGUGUGUGGAACUCCGAGUGUAGAGGUGAAAUUCGUAGAUAUUCGGAAGAACACUAGUGGCGAAGGCGACACACUGGCCCAUUACUGACGCUGAGGCUCGAAAGCGUGGGGAGCAAACAGGAUUAGAUACCCGCGUAGUCCCUGUCUCUUAUAC